GUGAAUCAUCGAAUCUUUGAACGCAAAUUGCACUCUCCUCGGAGAGUAUGCCUGUUUGAGGGUCAGCCUCUAAAAAACCGCCUUCGUUGCUGUUUCGCGGUGCCGUGCGUCGGAAAUUGGGUCAUCUUAAUUCUUUUGGUUUUAAGCGACUUAAUAUUUUCUUUUUGGUUCUAUGAACGUUUCUAAAAUUUAUUUCUUUACACGUUUAAGGUAUCUUGUUUUAUUAGAUG
rnacentral:misc_RNA from 1 species